rnacentral:rRNA from 1 species
GAUGAACGCUAGCUACAGGCUUAACACAUGCAAGUCGAGGGGCAGCGAGAAGUUAGCUUGCUAACUUUGUCGGCGACCGGCGCACGGGUGAGUAACGCGUAUCCAACCUGGCCCUUAGUAGGGGAUAGCCCGGCGAAAGUCGGAUUAAUACCCUAUGUUUUCCAAUGAGGACAUCUGAGCUGGAAUAAAGGUUUACCGCUAAGGGAUGGGGAUGCGUCUGAUUAGGUUGUUGGCGGGGUAACGGCCCACCAAGCCAUCGAUCAGUAGGGGUUCUGAGAGGAAGGUCCCCCACAUUGGAACUGAGACACGGUCCAAACUCCUACGGGAGGCAGCAGUGAGGAAUAUUGGUCAAUGGGCGCGAGCCUGAACCAGCCAAGUAGCGUGCAGGAUGACGGCCCUAUGGGUUGUAAACUGCUUUUAUGCGGGAAUAAAGUUCACCACGUGUGGUGUUUUGUAUGUACCGCAUGAAUAAGGACCGGCUAAUUCCGUGCCAGCAGCCGCGGUAAUACGUAGGUGGCGAGCGUUGUUCGGAUUUAUUGGGUUUAAAGGGAGCGUAGGCGGCCCGUUAAGUCAGCGGUUAAAUGUCAUGGCCCAACCUUGGCAUGCCGUUGAUACUGGUGGGCUUGAAUACACACAAGGAAGGUGGAAUUCGUCGUGUAGCGGUGAAAUGCUUAGAUAUGACGAAGAACUCCGAUUGCGAAGGCAGCCUUCUGGGGUGCGAUUGACGCUGAGGCUCGAAAGUGCGGGGAUCAAACA